rnacentral:rRNA from 1 species
UACGUAGGGUGCGAGCGUUGUCCGGAAUUAUUGGGCGUAAAGGGCUCGUAGGCGGUUUGUCGCGUCGGGAGUGAAAACCAGGUGCUUAACACCUGGCUUGCUUUCGAUACGGGCAGACUAGAGGCAUGCAGGGGAGAACGGAAUUCCUGGUGUAGCGGUGAAAUGCGCAGAUAUCAGGAGGAACACCGGUGGCGAAGGCGGUUCUCUGGGCAUGUCCUGACGCUGAGGAGCGAAAGCAUGGGGAGCGAACAGG